AUUGAACGCUGGCGGCAUGCUUUACACAUGCAAGUCGAACGGCAGCGGGGGCUUCGGCCCGCCGGCGAGUGGCGAACGGGUGAGUAAUGCAUCGGAACGUGCCCAGUCGUGGGGGAUAACACAUCGAAAGAUGUGCUAAUACCGCAUACGUCCUGAGGGAGAAAGCGGGGGAUCUUCGGACCUCGCGCGAUUGGAGCGGCCGAUGUCAGAUUAGCUAGUUGGUGAGGUAAAGGCUCACCAAGGCGACGAUCUGUAGCGGGUCUGAGAGGAUGAUCCGCCACACUGGGACUGAGACACGGCCCAGACUCCUACGGGAGGCAGCAGUGGGGAAUUUUGGACAAUGGGCGCAAGCCUGAUCCAGCCAUGCCGCGUGAGUGAAGAAGGCC
rnacentral:rRNA from 1 species